UAAUACGUAGGGUCCGAGCGUUGUCCGGAGUUACUGGGCGUAAAGCGCGCGCAGGCGGCGGUGCUGGCCCGGCGUGAAAGCCCCCGGCUCAACCGGGGAGGGUCGUCGGGGACCGCACCGCUUGAGGGCGGUAGGGGCUGGUGGAAUGCCUGGUGUAGUGGUGAAAUGCGUAGAGAUCAGGCGGAACACCCGUGGCGAAGGCGGCCAGCUGGGCCGUCCCUGACGCUGAGGCGCGAAGGCGUGGGGAGCGAACGGGAUUAGAUACCCUGGUAGUCCACGCCGUAAACGAUGGAUGCUAGCCGUUGGCGGGUUUACCCGUCAGUGGCGCAGCUAACGCAUUAAGCAUCCCGCCUGGGGAGUACGGUCGCAAGAUUA
rnacentral:rRNA from 1 species